CAGUUCAUUUCGCAGGCCGGAGAGACUGGAGCGAAUUUGCAAAGACGCAGUUUAGAUUGAAUUAUUAUGAUUAUUUUAUUAUUUGUUCCACUUUUCCUUCAGCAGUUAAGAGAACUCGUCUGAAUGAUAAGCACAGGAGUGAUAAAAUUGAAGAAGCUCUUUUAUCGUUGAUUCAGAAACUUGUUGUCGUGUUAUUUACUGUUACCGUGGACUUCGUGACCAGUGAUUCAAGGUAAGACCAGGCCUAACUUCACUACAUCAAACACUUUCAGUGUAUGUGGUCUGAAAUGAUGUUUACUGCGUUAGACUGCUGAACAUCUCUGAUGUCAAAUCAAAUUACUGACCAGACUGCUGAAUUUCAACUGCAGUCUGUUUGAUCUUAAAGCUGGAAUUAAUGUUUACUUUGGCAUUUUCUUUUGCAACAGGGAGAGAAAGUGAAUUGGAAUCGGCCGAGGUUUGUUGGUUCAUCACUAUGUUCAUUGUAAUGGCUGUGGUUAUUGCAAAUGUAUAACUUGUACUGUAUUGUAACUUUUAAUGUGGAUGUAGCAAAAUUGCACAAAACUGUUUGUUUCUAUACACAAUAAACAAAAUACAUGUC